GGAAUCCGAGAAUUUCACCUCUAGCGUCGCAGUACUAAUGCCACCGUCUGUUCCUUUUAAUCAUUACCUCGGUUCGAAAACCGACCAAAAGAGCAGAACCGAGGUCCUGUUCCUUCAUUCCAUGCGUACCCAUCCAGGCGUUAAAUUUGCCUGCUUUAAGCACUCUAAUUUAUUCAAAGUGAACGUGUCAACCGCGUAGGAACACUCAUUAAAGAGCACUCCGAGCGAGUCGACGGUUUGUAUAUAAACCUUCUUUAGAUAGUAAUCUGCCAGGCAAGUGAUCAUAAGAUCUCCACCUUACGCAGGCCAUCUACGAAGGAUCCCAAAUCCAACUACGAGCUUUUUAACCGCAGCAACUUACAUAUACGCUAUUGGAGCUGGAAUUACCGCU
rnacentral:misc_RNA from 1 species